GCGGGUAUAGUUUAGUGGUAAAACCUAGCCUUCCAAGCUAACGAUGCGGGUUCGAUUCCCGCU
rnacentral:tRNA from 2 species